GGGUUGUGAGGUUAAGCGACCAAGCGUACACGGUGGAUGCCCUGGCAGUCAGAGGCGAUGAAGGACGUGCUAAUCUGCGAAAAGCGCCGGUAAGGUGAUAUGAACCGUUAUAACCGGCGAUGUCCGAAUGGGGAAACCCAGUGUGACUCGUCACACUAUCAUUAACUGAAUCCAUAGGUUAAUGAGGCGAACCGGGGGAACUGAAACAUCUAAGUACCCCGAGGAAAAGAAAUCAACCGAGAUUCCCCCAGUAGCGGCGAGCGAACGGGGAGGAGCCCAGAGCCUGAAUCAGCAUGUGUGUUAGUGGAAGCGUCUGGAAAGGCGCGCGAUACAGGGUGAGAGCCCCGUACACAAAAGCGCACGUGCUGUGAGCUCGAUGAGUAGGGCGGGACACGUGGUAUCCUGUCUGAAUAUGGGGGGACCAUCCUCCAAGGCUAAAUACUCCUGACUGACCGAUAGUGAACCAGUACCGUGAGGGAAAGGCGAAAAGAACCCCGGCGAGGGGAGUGAAACAGAACCUGAAACCGUGUACGUACAAGCAGUGGGAGCCCCACCAC
rnacentral:rRNA from 1 species